rnacentral:rRNA from 1 species
UCUGCCCUACGGGGCGCAGCAGUGAGGAAUAUUGGUCAAUGGGCGGGAGCCUGAACCAGCCAAGCCGCGUGAGGGAAGAAGGUACAGCGUAUCGUAAACCUCUUUUGUCAGGGAACAAAGGCGGGGACUAGUCCCCGGAUGAGGGUACCUGAAGAAAAAGCAUCGGCUAACUCCGUGCCAGCAGCCGCGGUAAUACGGAGGAUGCGAGCGUUAUCCGGAUUUAUUGGGUUUAAGGGGUGCGCAGGCGGCCUGUUAAGUAAGCGGUAAAAGACCGGGGCUCAACCCCGGCGAGCCGGUGAAACUGG